CCUACGUGAGGCAGCAGUGGGGAAUAUUGCGCAAUGGGCGAAAGCCUGACGCCGCGACGCCGCGUGAGGGAUGAAGGUCUUCGGAUCGUAAACCUCUGUCAGCAGGGAAGAACGGUCACUGUGCUAAUCAGCAGUGAAUUGACGGUACCUGCAAAGGAAGCACCGGCUAACUCCGGGCCAGCAGCCGCGGUAAUACGGAGGGUGCGAGCGUUAAUCGGAAUUACUGGGCGUAAAGCGCUCGUAGGCGGUAUGUCAAGUCAAGGGUGAAAUCCCCGGGCUCAACGUGGGAACUGCCUUUGAAACUGGCAAACUGGAGUGUGUGAGAGGAUAGUGGAAUUCCAGGUGUAGGAGUGAAAUCCGUAGAUAUCUGGAGGAACAUCAGUGGCGAAGGCGACUAUCUGGCACAUAACUGACGCUGAGGAGCGAAAGCGUGGGUAGCAAACAGGAUUAGAUACCCCAGUAGUC
rnacentral:rRNA from 1 species